rfam:Gongylonema pulchrum genome assembly, scaffold: GPTH_scaffold0008166
CGCUUUGGUUAUCUAGCUGUAUGAGUACGUUAUUAACUUCAUAAAGCUAGGUUACCAAAGCU